UACGUAGGGGGCUAGCGUUGUUCGGAAUUAUUGGGCGUAAAGCGCUCGUAGGCGGCUUUGCAAGUUAGAGGUGAAAGCCCGGGGCUCAACUCCGGAAUUGCCUUUAAGACUGCAUCGCUAGAAUUGUGGAGAGGUAAGUGGAAUUCCGAGUGUAGAGGUGAAAUUCGUAGAUAUUCGGAAGAACACCAGUGGCGAAGGCGACUUACUGGACACAUAUUGACGCUGAGGAGCGAAAGCGUGGGGAGCAAACAGG
rnacentral:rRNA from 1 species